UUCACCAGUGAUGAGUUGAAUACCACCCAAGUCCGAUAACGGAUGAAAGGUAUUUUCUGAGUUUUG